rnacentral:rRNA from 1 species
AGGGGAAACGACAUCGAAAGCUUGCUUUUGAUGGGCGUCGACCGGCGCACGGGUGAGUAACGCGUAUCCAACCUGCCCACCACUUGGGGAUAACCUUGCGAAAGUAAGACUAAUACCCAAUGAUAUCUCUAGAAGACAUCUGAAAGAGAUUAAAGAUUUAUCGGUGAUGGAUGGGGAUGCGUCUGAUUAGCUUGUUGGCGGGGUAACGGCCCACCAAGGCAACGAUCAGUAGGGGUUCUGAGAGGAAGGUCCCCACAUUGGAACUGAGACACGGUCCAAACUCC